rnacentral:tRNA from 1 species
GGUUCCAUUGUGUAGCGGUUAGCACGUCUGCUUUACACACAGAAGGUCUUGGGUUCUCACCCUGGUAGAGCUG